GGCCGCGUACAGCCUCGCCACUGCAGAACCAAAGGAAGCCCUGAAGUGGCAGGUUGGGGAGCAAAAACUGACAGGCCCAUUGAGCUCUGUCUCGAAAGAGGGCCCUUCCUUCUUAAGCCCCUCUCUGAGCACCUGCCUGAGGAGAUGUGGAUUCUACUCUCUGUGAGUCUUGGUUGAAGGUGAUGGAAUUCCUAGGAAAGCCCAGCGGGGAGGUGAUAGGGAGAAAAGGAACCUAAAGACCUCUAGGCGGUGACAUUGUUUAUUUUCAGUAACGUAAGGACAAGAAUUACUACCAUAAUCCGGAUCAUCAUCCAUUCAACAAAUAUGCCCUGCUCUGCCAGGCACGCUCUACAGUGGCAGAAAGUGCAGAGGAGUAGGAGACAGCGUGGCUGUGCUCCACGUGCCUAUGGGCAAGUCAGUUAGUACCUCUGAACCCUACUAUCCUCAUUUAUAAAAUGCAGGUGCUACUAUUCACCCUGCUACUGUUGUGAGGCUCAGAUUAAUGUAUGCAGAUGUGCUUUGUAACAAACACCUUGAAGCCAGAAUGGUGGGGUAGGGGAAAGGGCACAGGCGUGAAGUCAGGCAGCCAUGGGCUCCUAACAGCUUGUGACCUUGAGCCGACCUUACGUUCUCUGAGCAGGUGGCUUCUUCUGAACCUGAAAUCCCUAAACUCUUAACAUGAAGGUUAAAAUAGCCUAACCUACCAAGCUGGUGUUAAAAAUAAAGUCAGAUAGUGUGUGUGAAAGAACUUACCCCAGCACCUGGCACGCAGCUGCUAAAACUUAAUUUCCUUUCCUAUUGUUUAGUAUUGUCUCUAAGUGUCUAACACAAAUGGGAGAUCAAUGAAUGGUUAGUAAAUUCAGGGGUUACAGGUUUUCUCACUGUGGGAGUUCAAGGGAAGGAGAUAUGAAGGUCAUGUUGAGGUUUAAUGAGGGGGCAAGUUAGAAUUUGUUAAGAAAACAAUUCAGAUCCUAAGAGCAGUACAGACCAGGAAAAAGAAUGGGGGGAGGGGAGCAUGAUUAGAACUUUGCGGCUGGUUCAGGGCCAGGCUGGUCCACCUUUCCAGGACGCAGAGCCUCUGCUCUCCUCCCCACGCCUGACUGUGCCAGUGCCUGGGCUAACCAAGCAUGUGUCACUGACUUCUUGGGAAUUGCACAAGAGGGCCCCAAAGAAUACAUUUCAUGUUCCUCAGUGUUCUGCCAAGGACACUUGGUAUGUGGACACUUGGUAUGUGUCACUUAGAGCUAGAGUUAGAGAGGACUUGGCUCCCAGGAAAUAUGCUAGAGUGAGGGUGGGAGCUGAGGGGAGAGCCCAGAAGAGCAGGAAUAUGUCAAGGCUAACAACCUGCACUUCUGGAUUCUGUAACAGACACUGUUGGUUGCACACUUCAUACCUAUUCCCUACCCCCGUCUCCCUUCUUCCUAACAGAACUUUAAUUUCGUUCUGCCAAGCAGUCAGGAACUUCAGGGAAGCUGGAGCCAGCCACAGGAAUGAGUCUGGAUUAGUCUAAGCCCAUCAUAGUAGUCCCAUUCCCCUUGCCAGUGACUGGUUAGGCAUGGGCUUGUGGCAACCUGGACAGUAUGAGGGCAAGUCUGCUGGGGUGAAGGAGUGUCCUGGGAAGAGUUUCUUUGCUCUUAAAAAGAUGCACAACAAAUUAGAGAAAGAGAGAUGGACAAGAAGGAAUGAUGUCUUUUCCUGCCUCUAGAAAUUCUGUGGAUGUGAUGCUGGAACCUUGGCAGGCAUCAUGAAACCUGUGGAAAGCUAAGCUAACCUGGGGCCAAAGCCUGAAUCCAUCCAGGGUGGAUGGCAGAAUAGAAAGGCCUGGGUCCUUGAUAGUAAUGUUGAGCCUCUGACUUAACCAACCUUCUUAUGAAAUAAUUUCAUUAUUGUUAAGGCCACUUUAAGUUUUCUUUUACUUAGAGCCAAAGGCGUCAUAAUAUAAGAGUAAAACAAAACAAAACAAAAACACUAGUUCUAAAAAAAAAAACAAAAAAAACACUAGUUCUAAUCCUAAUCACUAGAGAUACAGACCCUGGCCAAAUUCAUCUCAUCAGCCCUCAGUUUUCUCAUCUAUAAAAUGGGUAAACUAAUGUUACUACCUCAUUGAGCAGGAUAUCGUAGAUGAGAUGAUGCAAAAAGAGCAGCUGGCCCAGUGUCUAACUUGCUAAUAAGUAAAUAGCAAUUCAUUGUGUUUAGUUAGAAUUUGGUAGGAUGGGAGAAAAGAAAAAAGUAGUAAGACUGGGAGUUCAGGGGAAAGAGUCUGUGAAGUUGAGAAAUGGAAAGGUUAGAAUUUCAAAUUGGGAUGUAGAUUAGGAUGCAGGGACUGGAACAAAUUCUGCAGAAAAGACCAUGGCAGCUAGAAUCUGGGUAAGAGUUAAUAUAAGUUAGGAAACAAAUUAUAAUUAGUCUUAGAUUCAUGGUUUGUGAAGAAACAGCUCACUGUUCUUGGUGAAAUGGCUUGUUACUAUUAUUGUUUCCAUCUGUGUAAAGAGUAUUUCUAAAUCCCUGAAGAUUGGAAGGACAUUCUAACCUGGGAAAGGAGUGGAAGAGCUAGCUGAGGGGCCUGUAGGAAUGCUCAUUGCCUUGGUGCCUCCUUCCGAGGGAUAGUCAUGGUAACCUACCCACAACUUGUUCCUGACGACAGCUGCCACACCCAGCGGCCAGUGUUGGAUGUGGCAGCAGAGAAAUGUUUCGCUGGGAUUACACCCAUCUACAAGAUGAAGGUCCAGUUAGGAAAGUCACGACAGUGCCCUGCUCACUCCACACAGCCUGCUGGGUCUCCCAAAUGGCAGUCUACAACUCUCUUGUGCUCUGCCUUUGAUCUGACCGGGAAUUGCUGUAAAAUUUCAUGUAAAUAAAUACAAAUAUCGAAUCAUGUCGUACACCUGAAACUAAUAUAAUGGUAUGUGUUAACUAUAUCUCAAUUUUUAAAAAUCAGAAUACUUAUCAGCCAAAAAAUUUUCACAUAGAUCCCAGAUCAAUCACUUGAUUGUAUGUCAGUACUGGGCAAGCAUAAAUCCCCUCUAUGAGGAUGAAUUAAAAGAAAAUCAUGAGACCUUUGGGAAAAAUUCCUCAGAUCAAGAGACAACC
rnacentral:lncRNA from 1 species